AUUGAACGCUGGCGGCAUGCCUUACACAUGCAAGUCGAACGGCAGCACGGGAGCUUGCUCCUGGUGGCGAGUGGCGAACGGGUGAGUAAUACAUCGGAACGUACCCUGAAGUGGGGGAUAACGUAGCGAAAGUUACGCUAAUACCGCAUAUUCUGUGAGCAGGAAAGAGGGGGAUCGCAAGACCUCUUGCUUUAGGAGCGGCCGAUGUCGGAUUAGCUAGUUGGUGAGGUAAAGGCUCACCAAGGCGACGAUCCGUAGCGGGUCUGAGAGGAUGAUCCGCCACACUGGGACUGAGACACGGCCCAGACUCCUACGGGAGGCAGCAGUGGGGAAUUUUGGACAAUGGGCGCAAGCCUGAUCCAGCCAUGCCGCGUGAGUGAAGAAGGCC
rnacentral:rRNA from 1 species